rnacentral:lncRNA from 1 species
UGGGCAGAGGAGGUGCCUUGAUCAGGCCCUCACCUCCCAGGGGAAGGGUUCAGGGUCCCUGAUGUCAAGUGCUUUGAAGGCUGAGACUGGCAGAGUAGAGAGGAGGUGGAUGGGAGGAAGAACGGGAGAGGGGAGAGGGGAGAUGGGAAGGGCCAGCUCUGGAGAUGCUGCCUCCUGGGCUCUGCGGUGGCCCUCUCAUCACAGCUUGGCACCCUUGGAAGGCUCUGAGGACUGCCGCACGUCUGUCCACUCCUGCAUGGUGUUCUGCAGGGCCUGGGUCUUCUCCUUGUCCACCUGAACGUAGUCCACCUUCUCAUCAGAGGUGACGGAUGAAGUAGAUGGCUGAGGGGACAGAGUGGGAAAGAGGGAGUAGCUGUGAGUUACCAGUUAGGUGGGGAGGAAGAAGGUGGGCACGGGAUCUUCCUGAGCUGUCUGAAGGGGAGAAGAGCAUGGCCUCUGCCUGCCACUGACCAGCCUCAGGAGCCUGGCUUCUCUUUCUGAAUGUGGGCUUUAAAGCUCAGACUCCAAACUCAUCAUCCCUCCUGCAGGAUGUAGCAGCACCUGCCAGCCCUUCUUACUUCCCGGCUUCUGGGAGGACCCAGGCCCUUCCUUGGCCCUGGUGGAUGGGUCCAGGCCUUCAUCUCUGCCUCCACCCAUCUCUGUCAGGUCGCUCAUCCAGGGGAAGGAAUUUGCUAGGUGCAAACAAACAUCAGCCACAGGACUUUACGUGCUGUGCUCACUGCCACCCUGUGAAGGGGAACCAUGCUGAGGCACAGCUCUGCACCCUUCUGUCUAGACUGCUUAGCUAUAAGGAUGCCUCCUGGGGAGGCUUUCCCAGGCCUGGAAGUCCCUUCUGAAGGCUGAUGUAUCGACGGCAGGGCUCUGGACCCACUCGAGAGCCCAGGACCAGGAGGCAGUAUCCUCAUUCCUGGAUCUGUUGCUGAUUCACUUUGUAACCUUAGGACAAUCAGAUCUCUGUGCACUCAUUUGCCCAUCUCUACAACACGGGGGAUGGGCUGACUGAUGAGGUUCUCUGACUGAGGGUACUGUGCUCUGAGAGCAGGAAUAGGAGUCUUUAGACCUAGAUGAAAGCUCUAUGACUAAAGAUGCAUCAUAAAAGCUGGGUACUGGAGCAGGAGGGAGGCUGAGUGCUGCUGUUCAGUGUUGAAGGCACCCUGGCCUCCAUGAUCUCUGCCUCCGGGACCCUGAGAGCUCUUACUGCCCCCCCAACUCUACUCCAGGCACCUUGCGGUGGGGGCUUGGGGAGCUCGGCUGGAAGUCCAGGGCCAGAUAAUCAACGCUGCCGGUGCUCUUCUUAGGGGCAGGACUGUUCGUGCCACUGGGAACGGGAGAUGCAGACACUGGGUUUUGCUGUCACGAGGAGGAAAAAACUGUGAGUGACUGCAGAAAACAGACUAACCCACCACCCAGAAAAACACCUCUGGGAGUAAGAACACUGUUUCCCUGAGCCCUACUCUGACACAUGCACCAUGCUAAGGACUUUUCAUGUUUUCAUUUUAAUCCUCAUGACAAUCCUGUAAGGUAGGUAUGAUUACUGUUGAUACUGUUUAAAGCAAAGAUGAAACUGUGGUUCACUUUACUUUCAGAGAAGUGACUUUGCCUGUGGCUGCACAGCUGUUGAGUGAUGGGAAUCAGGUCUGUUUUCUGACUUCCAAACCUGUGCUAACCCCUGUACCACACUGCCUCCUUUCUAGCACAUCAGGCCAAGUCUCAUCAACAGUGGCUCUCCUGAGACAUCCAGCCUUUGCUUGCUGGCGCUUAAGAAAGGAGCACAUUUCCUUUAUGCACUGGAAAGUUUUCUUCUGUCGCACCAAAUCAGCCCCUGUGAAACUCCCACCUGUGGCCUAGAGUGGGGUAGUCACCCCAAAGCAGCUUGCUCCCCCGCCUAGCUCCUCCAAGAUCUGAAGAGGGUGGCUUCAUCUCCAGGCUGCACAAGCCCGCAUUUCUUCAGAUGACACGCUCUAGGAUCCUGUCCAUCCAGGCUCGUGCUCUAGCAGAGCACCACCUCCUCUAGAACUUUCUGGAAGUCUUAUUCUAAUGAGAAGGUGAUAGUCCUGUGUUCUGUUUGUUGGCUGCUUUACUGGUUGGUUAAUUCAUUCUUUCACUAUCUAUGCAGUGACUACCAGGUGCUGGGCAGUUACGCCCUUAAUGGAAAUCUCAGGGAAGAAAUAUCCUCCUCUGCCUGUGUUGAUAGCUCUAUUAUGGCCUCACCAAAGUGAGUUAUGUGCACGUAUGCCUCUCACCACUGAGGAGAUACCUCCACCACUGAGGAGAUACCUCCAGCACUGCCUAUCCAAGGGCACAGAUCAUGCCACCCAUGUCACUGUCAUGAGAGGCAGGCCCCUGCUCUUGAAGACCAUGACUUCGUUGGGACAGGUCUCAUGUCUUCCUUACAUCUGAUGACAACUCCUACUGCUUGAUAAACAGGUGCUCAAGAAGGGUUUGUAGCAGGAGACUAAAUCAUGAAUAAUACAAGGAGUCCCUGGGCUGAGGUGAGUUAGCUAAGCUGGGAAGUGGGGAACUGAGGGGUGGGUCCCAGGGGACUUGAAAGGCGUCAUUCCAGCGAAGCCCGAAGGACUCACCAUAGGGACAUAGUUCUCUUCGCUGUCUCCUGAGUCUGUGCUGGUGAUGCUCUGGGUGGAGAUGGGGCGGCAGUACUGGGAGGAGCUGGAGUUGAAGGUGUGGCUGUUGUGGGAAGGAAGAGUUAACACUGGGGAAGCUGCAUGGCUGCUGCCAUGUUUCUAGCCUCCAGCUGGGCCCUGACCCUCACACACCCAGACCUCAGCCAUUAGAGCUGCACACUCCAUCAGAUUAAGAUCUGAUAUAGGGCAGGUAUAAUUAUUCUCUUUUACAGCUGAGGAAACCAAGCCACAAGACAUCGAGACAUGAUCAGCUAAUGAUAGCGUUAGCAUCAGAAUCCAGCUGUCCCGGCCCACAGGCCAGCUACCACAUCACUCAUUUUCCCUAAUGGCCCGACUCCAAGCUCCCACCCCCACACAUACGCACUUACUUGGCCCUAGACCAAGACUUGGUGAUAGGUGACUUGAAGGGGAGUUCAUCGAUGACGGUGUUGUUCCUCAGGUCAAGUGGUGUUGGCUUUGCUGGAGCAGGAAAAGAAAGUCUGGUAAUCAGCCAGUAAUGAUAAUGCUACACAUACACACCUUAUAUAUAACACAUGAGCAUGUUUAUAAAGGCCUGCAAAGUCAUUCCAGUUUCACACAGGGAAACUGACGCUCAGCGAGGUUGUAUAAUCUUUGCCCAUAUUGAUGAGCCUUGAAGUCAUGUCUUCAGAUUCCAAAUUAUAUAUUCUUUCUGCUGUAUCUAUGGUAAUUAUAUUUUCAGAAUCAAAAGUGGGGACACAGGGUUUGACAACAGAUUUUUCUCCCUCAAUUUAUGACUUCAUUUAAAAAUAAAAGACUAUAUAUAAAAUAUAUUUAUAUAUUAAUAUAUUAAUAUUUAUAAAAAUAUAUACUAUUUAUAUAUUAACACACAUAUAUGUAUUUUUUAAGACGGGGUCUCACUCUGUUGCUCAGGCUGGAGUGCAGCGGCGCAAUCUCAGCUCACUGCAACCUCUGCCUCCUGAGUUCAAGUGAUUCUCCUGCCUCAGCCUCCCUAGUAGCUGGGACUAUAGGCGCCUGCCACCACGCUUAGCUAAUUUUUAUAUUUUUAGUAGAGACGGGGUUUCACUAUUUUGGCCAGGCUGGUCUCGAACUUCUGACCUCAGGUGAUCCACUCGCCUCAGCCUCCCAAAGUGUUGGGGUUACAGGCGUACAGGCGUGAGCCAUGGCGCCCAGCCAAGAGACCAUAUUUGAAGUAUAGAUGGUCACCGUGACUACUCCCUGCUGCUCCUGGCCAGGUCGGUGCAAGCCACAGUGGAGGAAGGUAGAUGCCAUAAGGGCUUGAGGGCUUCAGUUCCAAAUGCUAAGAUUUGAAUUCCCUGUUGGCCAGACCCACAGGGGGCUAUCUCUGCCUAGCUAUCCUACUCCUCCCUUUGAAUCCUUGCCACUGAUCCAAUGCCAGGAGAGUGAGAUUGUAGCAGACGAGGACCUUGCCUGGUCUACAUGCAGGGGGCACAAAGCUGACUUUACUGAACGCCUGCUAUGUACCAAAGUACUAUCCUAGAUGCUCUCCUUUGCAGCAAACCUGGGAGGUAGGAAUUACCAUCUGCAUUUCACAGAUAAGAAAACUGAGACUCAGAUUUUACAUGAUUUGCCCCAAGUCACACCUCUCAAGUCCAGGAUCCACAUGACCCCUAAGCAAAUGGAAAGAGUCCCUAGCCACUGUCCAGAGAUGGGACAGGGGAAAGAAUGGACUUACCUUUCCGAUCAGGUUUGAGGUUGCGGUUGACAGGGGGUGGCUGAAUCUCACUUCCUCUGCUGGGGCCUCGGUGCACAGGAAGGGUUGUUGAUGGGUAGCCAAGUGAGUCAAAGUGAUGGGCCCCUGGGCUCAUUGGGAUGUAGACGCUCUGGGAAUUAUCACCUGCUCGUUCCAUGGCCAACAGGGUGGAAGAACCUGGAUUCAUGGGCACAUAGUUGUCUUCAGAAUUGGUGCUGUCCGAUCGGCCCACAAUCAUUUUCCCUGGCUAGGGAGAGGAACAGUGAAAGAAAUACAGCUGUUACUAGCAAGAAGAAACAGGAAGGGGGUAAGACUUUGUAAAUGAGGCAAGACAAGUCAUGACUGGGUUAGCUAUACUUUGAAGCUGUAAGGGAGACCUUGGGGAGACCAAAUAAGAAAGCAGAGUAGUGGGAGGCUGAGGCAGGUGGAUCACUUGAGGUGAGGGGUUCGAGACCAGCUUGGCCAACAUGGCAAAACCUCCUCUCUACUAAAAAUCCAAAGUAUUAGCUGGGCGUGGUGGCAUAUGCUUGUAGUCCCAGCUACUCAGGAGGCUGAGGCACGAGAAUCGCUUGAAGCUGGGAGGCCAAGGUUGUAGUGAGCCAAGAUCAUGCCACUGCACUCCAGCCUGGGUGACAGAGUGAGACUCUGUUUCAAAAAAUAAAAAAUAAAAAAAAGGAAGCAGAGUGGGAGACAAGAAUAUAUGAGGUCUGUGGGCCCCUUCAAGCCUUCACGAUCCUUUGGCAUCCACUAAUAAUUUUUGAUAAAUCUAGAGUAUAAAAUAUUCUUGGUGACUGGGUCCACUUGGCUUUCUGGACGCCUGACCAACACUGUGGGUGGCAUAGUCCAUAGACUGUAGGUUUGGUUCAGGACCUGCCCUCCACCUCAAGUCCAGACUCACCACUGGCAGGUCAGCAUCUCAGGCCCUGGAUCAGAACAAGGAGCAUAUUAGGAGUCCUGGCUCUGGAAGGUGAGGUCUGGGGCCAGUUGUGUUUCCCCAGUCCAGGUUUCUAAGUACCUGGGGCUCACUCCAGGCACCUAGGGGACCACCAAGCUGCAGUCAGAGCUUCUACAGAGUUGUGUGAUACAGCAAUCCCAGCCUUCCUCUAACUCUUGCUCUAUCUGCCGUGACAUACAACUAAGCUGCUUCUGCCUUGGUUACCUGAUUUCACUGUCUUUUCAGUGGGCCUGAAGCCAGGCCCUGGUCUUCUUGCCUGACACCUUGGAGAACUGCGGUUAGCAUCUUCCAGAGGGCAGCCUGGGAUCCUGCACUCAAGCCAUAAUUCUGCCACUUAGCCUGACUGUGAGUACCACCCUUGCCUGGAGUCUCACACUGCAGCCUCCCUCCUGCAUGUGAGGCCACGUGGGUAAGGUUGCUGUCUUAGAGGUUCCCCCACCGUGCAGCCUGGGUCUAUUGCAUUCUAGAUCCUCUGCUUACCUACAAGGUUGGUGAACCUUGUAAUCCAGUCUACCUUAGCACAUACAUUUCUUCCAGACUAGAAUACUUAUAUCUUACUUGUCCAAAGACUCAACGCAGGGUUCUGAACUGAGACAAGAACUUGGGCAGGGUCCUAAGAUGGAGACGCCAUCAAUCUUUUGGGGUUGUGCUUUUAAUUCCAUAAGGUGUGACCUUUUACCUAACCAGGCCGGCCUGAGGACCCUUGGGUUAACCCACACUCACCAGGAAAGAGCCAACUCCAUCACUCAUGGAUUCAGCAGACCGGCCUGCACUCUCUCCACCACGCUGUGGGUACUCGUAGGUCUCACAGGAAGAAGCUGACAGAGGAAGGAGGAUUCAUAAGUACUCAUGGUUGAUUCAUGUGUUGACACUUACCCAUACCCUCACCAGUGUGGUUCAAGGUCUUACUGAUACUCCAGAAGAUACUACUCUCAACCCCAAAUGAUAAGGAAUUUCUUCGAACACAUC